rnacentral:rRNA from 1 species
AGUGAACGCUGGCGGUAGGCCUAACACAUGCAAGUCGAACGGCAGCACAGGAGAGCUUGCUCUCUGGGUGGCGAGUGGCGGACGGGUGAGGAAUACAUCGGAAUCUACUCUGUCGUGGGGGAUAACGUAGGGAAACUUACGCUAAUACCGCAUACGACCUACGGGUGAAAGCAGGGGACCUUCGGGCCUUGCGCGAUUGAAUGAGCCGAUGUCGGAUUAGCUAGUUGGCGGGGUAAGGGCCCACCAAGGCGACGAUCCGUAGCUGGUCUGAGAGGAUGAUCAGCCACACUGGAACUGAGACACGGUCCAGACUCCUACGGGAGGCAGCAGUGGGGAAUAUUGGACAAUGGGCGCAAGCCUGAUCCAGCCAUACCGUGUGGGUGAAGAAGGCCUUCGGGUUGUAAAGCCCUUUUGUUGGGAAAGAAAUCCAGCUGGCUAAUACCCGGUUGGGAUGACGGUACCCAAAGAAUAAGCACCGGCUAACUUCGUGCCAGCCGCCGCCGUAA